GAGGAUGGGUUCGGAGGUGAAACGUCCCUUGAGCUCUAUGAAUGCCCUGUCAGCCUCGGGAUUCCUGCAAAAACCUGCUUGAGUGAGGUGGGACAGGGCCGUAAAUGUUCCGGAGGGGGUUUUGGAGAAGAUCGGGAUGUCGUCGAGGUGAACAAAGACGAACCGGUUCAACAUAUCCCUAAGAGUAUCAUUGAUCAAUGCCUGAAAGACUGCUGAUUUUAAGCGUUGCGGAGGUCCAGUUUGGUGAAGAAUUGGAUUCUUAGUGCCAACUCCGAGGCGGCGGACAUCGGGGUUGUUGAACAUGAGUGGAAAUGAAACUCCAGCACACUGGUAGCACUAAAGAUGUGUGAGUAUAACUUUUCCAGGUGAGUUGAACCUGCCUGUGGGUGCAGUGGGGAUAUUCCUGGGAGGUCUACUGAUGAAGAGGUAUAAGCUUGGCGUUGUGUCUGGAUCCCAGAUGUCUUUCGUCAUCUCCUUCAUGGCCUACCUCCUCCUCCCUCUGCAGUCUGGCACUAAGUGUGACAACGUUCAGGUGGCUGGUCUGACCCUGUCCUAUAACGGGUAAAUAUGACAUCUGAUUGGUUGGUUGGUGGGUUGAUAAAAACAAAAGUUUUGAUCAGUGGAAUAUGAGGGAGAGUUUGAACAAAACACACAUGGGCUUGUGCCGGGGCUCCCUCUUGUGGGAAUAUACAGUAUGGUUGUUACUGAGCCAGGAUUCCUGGCUGUUUUGUCACUGUGCCUGUGUCAAUGAUAGUUCAGCAACAAUUAUUUAAACAUCAUUAUUACCAGCCAUUUUCUCUGUCCCCCGGGUCCCCUGGUGUACGAUGGCAGCCUGUUGUCAGAAUGUAACAGAGACUGCUCCUGCUUAGGCUGGGAAGUGGGACCCUGUGUGUUCAGACAACGGCAUCACCUACACCCCCAGCCUCGCAGGCUGCUCCAGCUUUACAGGUUACGGCAAGAACACGGUACCAAUACUAUUAAUGUACUGAGAGUACAAAACAUUCACAGGGAUGCCGGCCCAUGUUGACUCCAAUGGCUCCCACAUUUGUGUCAAGUUGGCUGUAUGUCUUUUGAGUGGUGGACCAUUCUUGAUAC